rnacentral:rRNA from 1 species
GUGAGCGAUCCGGUGGAGAGAUCACUAGUGAGAAUGAUGACAUGAGUAGCGACAAAGGGAGUGAGAGACUCCCUCGCCGAAAGUCCAAGGGUUCCUGCUUAAAGCUAAUCUGAGCAGGGUAAGCCGACCCCUAAGGCGAGGCCGAAAGGCGUAGUCGAUGGGAACCAGGUUAAUAUUCCUGGGCCAGGAGGAUGUGACGGAUCUCGAAGAUUGUUUCCCCUUAUCGGAUUGGGGAGGCCGUUUAGAGGUUCCUGGAAAUAGCCCUCCGCUAGAUCGUACCCUAAACCGACACAGGUGGAUAGGUAGAGAAUACCAAGGCGCUU